GACGUAGGAGGCGAGCGUUGUCCGGAGUUACUGGGCGUAAAGCGCGCGCGGGCGGUCGCGCAGGUCGCCUGUGAAAGCCCCCGGCUCAACCGGGCGGAGGCGGGCGAAACCGCGCGACUGGAGGGCGGCAGAGGGUGGUGGAAUUCCCGGUGUAGUGGUGAAAUUCGUAGAUAUUCGCAAGAACACCGGUGGCGAAGGCGGCCAACUGGACCAUUACUGACGCUGAGGCGCGAAAGCGUGGGGAGCAAACAGG
rnacentral:rRNA from 1 species